rnacentral:rRNA from 1 species
AUGGCCAUGGUGUGGUGUCCAGCGAGCAAGGAAGCCGCCGCAGCCAUGGCCAUGGAGGUGGAAGAGACCACGACGGCGGCGUCGGCGGAGAAGACGUUCCUAGUCCAGAGCGAGGACGGCAUGGACUUCUGGGUGUCCGAAUCGGAGGCGAGCCAAUCCAUGACCAUCGAUGGCGAGACCGUCUGCUACGACGGCGAGCCCAUCUACGUCAACGUCGACAGAGAAACCCUCUCCAAGGUCUUGCACUACUGCAAGAAGCACGCCGCCGCCGGCGACGAUGACGACCUCCUCAGCGCCUGGGACGCGGAGCUCGUCGUCGGCGUCGACCUCGAGGCCCUCUACGACCUCAUCCUCGUACCGAAGGAGCUGGAGGUCCGAGGGCUCCUGGACCUGGCCUGCGGGGCCGUCGCCGGCAGGAUCAAGGGCCGGUCGCCGCGGGAGGUCUGCCACCUCCUCCACAUCAGGGGCGUCUUCGUCCCGGACUUCCACCACCACCAGCUCUCGUCGGCGGCGAGUAGCGGGUCUCGUUGGACUGAUGGAGAGCUCAAGCUGACGGAGAAGGCGCUGCGGGCUCUGCACGUGGUCCGUGUCAACGACUUCACCUCGUACGAGCCCACGCAGGACUACCACGUGUGCUAUCGCUUCCACCACGAGUUCAACAUGGCCCUCUUCGACUUCGACAAAGAGACUCGCUUCUGCCGUGGCCCGCCGCUCUGCAAGAGGACACCGGCGCGUGAGUCGCUCGCGGGAGCAUGUCUCAACGUCAUAUGCUUGAAGGUGCGCGAAUCGGACGUCGGCUUCCCAAUCAACGUGUUUGGCACCGUCGUCGCAAGGGACUCGGUGGACUAUAGAUGCGUCUAUCUCUUUAGGCGUGACAGGGACGAUCCCCAACUCAUCACCUCGCCGGUUUACGCACCCGUGGAAGCCACGUUUGCAAUCAAUGUUGUAAAGGGCCCGUGUAAUAUCUCGAGAGUAGUCGUUGCGACUCGUGGAAACUUUAGUGAUCGUAGGAUCCUAUACGAAGCAACGGACAACCAUAUGGUGAUUGGUGACGGUGCUUCCGUUCCGUUGACUCGUCAUGUGGUAGCCGUCCCACGGGAUCAGAAGCUGGCGCUCUAUCUUGUCGGUGGCGACGACGUACUUGGACACCUUGCCCUCACUCUAGGUCAUUCUGACGAAGUGGUCAACUGUAAGAUGGGUUGCGCUGAGCUUGAGGUGAAAGUUGCUUGGACGGCUGUCCUGAGAAGAAAAAGACCUAACAUGUUUAAGGAGGUCGGAGAUGUGCGGCUCUUGUUGUGA